rnacentral:tRNA from 1 species
GGGCUGUUAGCUCAUCUGGUAGAGCGCCGCUUUUGCACAGCGGAGGUGGCCGGUUCGAGUCCGGCACAGUCCA